rnacentral:tRNA from 1 species
UGCUCCUUGGUGUAAGAAACAUCUCUGAUUUGCAUUCAGAGGAUGGGAAUGUAGUCUCAGGAGCAG